GCCUGGAUAGUUGUUAGAGCAUCUGAUUUUUAAUCUGAGGGUCCAGGGUUCAAGUCCCUGUCUAGGCA
rnacentral:tRNA from 1 species